AGGACGAACGCUGGCGGCGUGCCUAAUACAUGCAAGUCGUACGCUUCUUUUUCCACCGGAGCUUGCUCCACCGGAAAAAGAAGAGUGGCGAACGGGUGAGUAACACGUGGGUAACCUGCCCAUCAGAAGGGGAUAACACUUGGAAACAGGUGCUAAUACCGUAUAACAAUCGAAACCGCAUGGUUUUGAUUUGAAAGGCGCUUUCGGGUGUCGCUGAUGGAUGGACCCGCGGUGCAUUAGCUAGUUGGUGAGGUAACGGCUCACCAAGGCCACGAUGCAUAGCCGACCUGAGAGGGUGAUCGGCCACAUUGGGACUGAGACACGGCCCAAACUCCUACGGGAGGCAGCAGUAGGGAAUCUUCGGCAAUGGACGAAAGUCUGACCGAGCAACGCCGCGUGAGUGAAGAAGGUUUUCGGAUCGUAAAACUCUGUUGUUAGAGAAGAACAAGGAUGAGAGUAACUGUUCAUCCCUU
rnacentral:rRNA from 1 species